rnacentral:rRNA from 1 species
AUUGAACGCUGGCGGCAGGCCUAACACAUGCAAGUCGAGCGAGCGGCGAACGGGUGAGUAACGUAUGGGGAUCUGCCCGAUAGAGGGGGAUAACUAUUGGAAAGGGUAGCUAAUACCGCAUACUAUCCGAUCAACCGAUAUGGGAUUAGCUGGUAGGUGGGGUAAAGGCUCACCAAGGCGACGAUCUCUAGCGGGUCUGAGAGGAUGAUCAGCCACACUGGGACUGAGACACGGCCCAGACUCCUACGGGAGGCAGCAGUGGGGAAUAUUGCACAAGGGGCGCAAGCCUGAUGCAGCCAUGCCGCGUGUAUGAAGAAGGCCUUAGGGUUGUAAAGUACUUUCAGCGGGGAGGCGUUACCCGCAGAAGAAGCACCGGCUAACUCCGUGCCAGCAGCCGCGGUAAUAC